rnacentral:rRNA from 1 species
GUGGGUGGUGAUUGGGAUGAAGUCGUAACAAGGUAACCGUUGGGGAACCAGCGGUUGGAUCACCUCCUUU